CUUCCCUCUCCCCCGACUCAGAGCAGUUCCAAGUUUAUCAGUGUUUACAUGUUAUGCUCUGAAAUAAGCUUUGAGUUGAAGAAUACGUACUUUCUCCUACUAACCUACAUGUCCAGCAGAGCCUUCUUCUCAUGGACAUCUGACCCCUUCAUCGCUUUGGGCCACUGAGAUACACCAACAGAUCCCAGCCCACCCAGCAACCUCUCACUGUAGUUGUUUCUGCCAGACUCCCACACCAGGAGAGAGAGGACUGUCCAGACCUGCCUGUGUGAGCAUCUUGUCUCGCACACAGGCUCCUCUGCAAAAUAGGAAGAUAGCAUUCCAGUUUUUACGUCAGCGCUUGGCACUGGAUGCAGCGUGAGCCAGACCAGGUCCCUGCCGUCCUGGACCGUCCAUUCGGGAAAGGCACCUGUUGGACACAGGAAUACCCGCAUUAUCAGACGAUGGCGCGCACUGGGAGAAGGCGAAGUGGGGAAGGGGCGGGGAGGGGGAGGCGGGGGCUGAGCUGGACGGCGGGGGAAGGAGCGUCCCAGCAGAGGCCAAACGAAGUGGUGUCCUUAGGGAUUAGGAUGGUUACGCUGCCUCUUCUCCUGCGUGUUCCUGGAACACUCC
rnacentral:lncRNA from 1 species